rnacentral:lncRNA from 1 species
CUUCUCUUCUGAGAUGUUCUCCAAGCCUUAGGCAUUAUCCACUGGGGCUGGGUACCCCACAGAGUGAAAAAUAAAAGCAAGAAACAAUCCUGGAGGAAGACAAGCUGUGCUCCGUAUCUAAAAAGAACUGUGGAUAACAGCCCAAGAUGGUAUUUUGAAGUGAGUAGACACCUGGAGAAUACAGUCUUCCUGCUACCGGGGUGAUGGAUAAACAUCUUCAAUCAAGACAUCCUGAGGAUCCUACGGGUUUAGAUGAAGCUGGCAUCUAUGUUCUUCUCUAGGAGACUCUCUGGUUGUGUUUGUUUGGAAGGCGACCUCGGUAAGCAUGGAGCUAGAUGUCAACUGACGAGACGCUUCUGAGAGGGACUCAAAACUGCCGACCUUGGGAAUUUGCUUGAGAAGAGAGAAAUUCUUGGCCACAGAGAGAGUGCUGAGAAGACAGGGGAGUGAAAAGAAUGUGUCAACAGAGUGAGCCAAGCCUGGGGGACAUGGCAGAGCACCACAAGAAACCAUUGCUCGGCAAAGGACUCCUCAGAUGAGAGCGUACAAAAUAUGAUCAUCCCUCAUCACCAGGGGUAGCCCUAGGAUCCUUGCCCAGGGUACCACAAUCUUAGAGUGCUCAAGUCCCUUAUAUAAACAGCAAAAUGAAUUAGGG